CUGAGGUUGACUGGAAGCUGGGAGGUGCGGGGGAGGAGUGAGAGAGGAAGAGGAGGGAACUCGCAGAAGCAAAUCAAGUGGUGAUUCGGGUCCUCAAGCACUGACUGCUGGAGCACCAGCUCUCCAUUCAAUAAAAUCAAG
rnacentral:lncRNA from 12 species